rnacentral:rRNA from 1 species
UAGGGAAUCUUCCACAAUGGACGCAAGUCUGAUGGAGCAACGCCGCGUGAGUGAAGAAGGUCUUCGGAUCGUAAAGCUCUGUUGUUGGUGAAGAAGGAUAGAGGCAGUAACUGGUCUUUAUUUGACGGUAAUCAACCAGAAAGUCACGGCUAACUACGUGCCAGCAGCCGCGGUAAUACGUAGGUGGCAAGCGUUGUCCGGAUUUAUUGGGCGUAAAGCGAGCGCAGGCGGAAUGAUAAGUCUGAUGUGAAAGCCCACGGCUCAACCGUGGAACUGCAUCGGAAACUGUCAUUCUUGAGUGCAGAAGAGGAGAGUGGAACUCCAUGUGUAGCGGUGGAAUGCGUAGAUAUAUGGAAGAACACCAGUGGCGAAGGCGGCUCUCUGGUCUGCAACUGACGCUGAGGCUCGAAAGCAUGGGUAGCGAACAGGAUUAGAUACCCUGGUAGUCCAUGCCGUAAACGAUGAGCGCUAGGUGUUGGGGACUUUCCGGUCCUCAGUGCCGCGGCAAACGCAUUAAGCGCUCCGCCUGGGGAGUACGACCGCAAGGUUGAAAC